GAACUAAAGCUAGCCCAAACACAAAACACAUAUGUAAAAACAACACUACACUGAUAAAACAAAACAUUUAUCCUACUAAAGUAUAGGAGAUAGAAAUUUUAAUUUGGAGCUAUAGAGAAAGUACCGUAAGGGAACGAGUGAAAGAACUAUUCAAAGUACUAAACAGCAAAGAUUAUCCCUUGUACCUUUUGCAUAAUGAUUUAACUAGAAAAACCUUAGCACAGCGACCUUAAGUUAAGUCCCCCGAAACCAGACGAGCUAUCCAUGAACAGCUAAAAUGAGCAAACUCGUCUAUGUAGCAAAAUAGUGAGAAGAUUUAUGGAUAGAGGUGAAAAGCCUACCGAGCCUGGUGAUAGCUGGUUGUCCAGCCAAGAAUUUUAGUUCAACUUUAAAUUUACCACAUCAAACCACUAAUUUCAAUGUAAAUUUAAAUGUUAACCUAAAGAGGUACAGCUCUUUAGACCAAGGAUACAACCUUAAUUAGAGAGUAAGUCAAAAACAUGACCAUUGUUGGCCUAAAAGCAGCCACCAAUUAAGAAAGCGUUCAAGCUCAACAAUAACUUUUACCUUAAUAUAAUAAAUUAAUACUAACUCCUAAUGACAAAACUGGACUAAUCUAUAAUAUUAUAGAAGAAAUACUGUUAAUAUGAGUAACAAGAUUACAAUCUCCAACUGCGCAAGCUUAUGUCAGAUCAAAUAAUAACUGAUAAUUAACAGCCCAUUUAACAAUUUCCAAAACUAAACAUUUAAAUAUAUCCACUGUUAACCCGACACAGGAGCGCAUUAAGGAAAGAUUAAAAGAAGUAAAAGGAACUCGGCAAACACUAACCCCGCCUGUUUACCAAAAACAUCACCUCUAGCAUAACCAGUAUUAGAGGCACUGCCUGCCCAGUGACAACUGUUAAACGGCCGCGGUAUCCUGACCGUGCAAAGGUAGCAUAAUCAUUUGUUCCUUAAUUAGGGACUUGUAUGAAUGGCCACACGAGGGUUUAACUGUCUCUUACUUCCAAUCAGUGAAAUUGACCUUUCCGUGAAGAGGCGGAAAUAUCCAAAUAAGACGAGAAGACCCUAUGGAGCUUUAAUUCACUUAAUUCAACAGAAGCAAAUACCAACCCACAAGGAUUUAACAAACAUUCUGCCUGGAUAAAGAAUUUCGGUUGGGGUGACCUCGGAGCAUAGAACAACCUCCGAGAAAUCUAUACUAAGACUAACAAGUCAAAGUAACCACACUACAUUGAUCCAGUCUAACUGAUCAACGGAACAAGUUACCCUAGGGAUAACAGCGCAAUCCUAUUCAAGAGUUCACAUCGACAAUAGGGUUUACGACCUCGAUGUUGGAUCAGGACAUCCCAAUGGUGCAGCAGCUAUUAAAGGUUCGUUUGUUCAACGAUUAAAGUCCUACGUGAUCUGAGUUCAGACCGGAGUAAUCCAGGUCGGUUUCUAUCUAUUUAACAUUUCUCCCAGUACGAAAGGACAAGAGAAAUAGGGCCAACUUACAAACAAGCGCCCUCAAGCAAAUAAAUGAUAUAAUCUAAAUUUAACUAACUUGUUAACAACCAUUUCACUUAAGACCAAAGUUU
rnacentral:rRNA from 1 species